CCGAUUCAACACUGUUUUGGGACCAUGGGAUGAGGCCUAAACGGUGUCAUUUCGAAAAUUCUAUUCAAACUAAAAACCUAACUGAUGUUUUGCCGUCCUUAAACUAAAAUCAAAACUUUAGCAGCUGCAAUAUGGGAGAUAAAAUGCCCUAAGGCUCUCCCCUCUCUCUUUUGCCGUUUCAAAACUCAGAUUCCCCGUCCAAUCCAAUCGGAACAGAGUAGACGAGGAUUCCUACGGCAUGAUAUCACAGGUAAGAUCCUUUCCUCUUUUUUCUUUUUGUAUAGCAAAUAGAGAUAAGUAAAGAAAAAUAAAAGAGAAACGCAGAAGAAAAAAACAGAAAUGGUGAAUCACCUCCUUAAAACUUAAAAAAUUUGUUUUCGAUUCUUUCUAUGUAUUGAUUUUUUGAUACAAUCUGCGUGUCCUUUACAAAACGCUAAAAGUGGCCUUAUAUAGCCGAAUCAAAUCAAAAUACAUCUAUCUUUUUUUUGCCCUCUUUUUCUAUUUUCUUUUUGUUGCUCUCCCUUUUUGUUUUUCUUCGUUUUGCUGUUGUUUUCUGUGCGUGGUUUGUUGCGUUUCUUUUUUCCUUUCUGCAGGUAUACGGAGGCUAGCUGGAACGUGGCGCGGCUCAUGUGAGUUCUGUUACGUGCGUGGGGAGUGGCUCGUGCGGCGUUGGAGCUGGGCAGAAGCAGGAGUGUGUGGAGGCUCGUGGGGCCGAGGGAAAGCGGCGGUGCCCGUGCUAAGUGCCUAAGGUUUCUGCAAUUAGGUUGGGAUUUGGGCUGAAUGAUUUGGGCCUGGAGGGUUAAGUAUUGGGUUAACAGUUUAGGCUUGGAAUUUGGAUUUUGUAAUCGGGUUUGGGCUUGGUUGUAAUAAACUGGACAUUUAUUUGUUUUAUUUUAUUUAUUUAUUUGGGUUCUAAUAUUUGUAUCGAGCCGGGCAAAUUUGGGCCAUUACAGUAUGCCUAGCCUAUCUAGGAAAAUACCAUCAUUCAUUCUGUAGACCAAGCUUCCCAACAUCUCAAUUCAAGCUUUCAAUAAUAGUUUACUAAGAUGAAAGAAAGGAUAAGACGUCUUGAAGCUCAUCUCUUGAAGCAACAACACAUCUAUCAAAAGUAACAAGAGAGGUAAUGAUUGUUAAACCAACAAAAUGUCAAGAAUGAACAGAUUAUUGAAAAGCUUAAAGCUGACAGAGAGCUUGACAAGGCUAACCCACUAGGCCAACAAGAGGAAACAACCUAAUCUUUCUUAAAAAGGCAACAAAAUUGAUGGUAGCCAAAUGAUCCCAACCACCAUUCUCAAGACAACCUUCACUCGGCUGGUUCCAAAGAAAGAGACCCUUGUAACCAAGAUGUUUCAUUAAAGGAUCAAAUGCAAGUAUUAAAGAGUGAAUUGUUGUAAGAAUUCUGAGGGAUUAUACUUGAUGAAGCAUUAUGGAGUCAUUCCAAUAAGCCACUGUACACAAAACUUUUAACCUACAACCUCCCAUCCUCCUUCAAAUUUCCUAAGGUCUCUUAUGGUUUAAGGGACCCAGAGGUCAUCUAGUUGAAACCACAUGAAUAUUUAUAGGUGCAGGGUAGUCCACACGGUCUUAGAGAGUUACACGGCCUAGCAACACGACUGUAUGACCCAACAUCAAAUACACACACGGUUUAGCACACGGUCUGCGAUAUGACCGUGUGACAAUACUUUGAAUACCCACAUGGGCUAAAACACAGGCUGGGACAUAGUCGUGUGUCCCAUACUUUGAAUUGUACACGGUUGGCCACACGGUCAUGUUUCCAAGCCACACGGUAUAGGCUAUGUCACACGGCAUUGUGACCCAUGUUUUCAAAAUUUUGUAAUUUUUCUAAAAUUUUUUGUUUUGUUAUAGAAUGGUCUUGGAAUGUUCUCAAAUUAUUUUUAGGACUUCGUAGGCUCGGUUUAAGUAUAUUUAUUCUAUAAAUGUAAUGUGUGUUUGAAUGUUAGUAUUUAAUCUAAAUAAUAGUUUUUAUUUGAAGUUAAAUGUUUUGAAUUGUACUGUAAUAUUUCGUAACCCUAA
rnacentral:lncRNA from 1 species